GAAAAUUUUUAAGGGUCACUGCUAAUGACCCAGGGAGCUUUAUAAGCUCAGUUUUCU
rnacentral:tRNA from 1 species